GACGAACGCUGGCGGCGUGCUUAACACAUGCAAGUCGAACGCUGAAGACCUGGCUUUUGUUGGGUUGGAUGAGUGGCGAACGGGUGAGUAACACGUGAGUAACCUGCCCUCUUCUUUGGGAUAACGCCCGGAAACGGGUGCUAAUACUGGAUAUUCACUGGCCUUCGCAUGGGGGUUGGUGGAAAGGUUUGUUCUGGUGGGGGAUGGGCUCGCGGCCUAUCAGCUUGUUGGUGGGGUGAUGGCCUACCAAGGCUUUGACGGGUAGCCGGCCUGAGAGGGUGACCGGUCACAUUGGGACUGAGAUACGGCCCAGACGCCUACGGGAGGCAGCAGUGGGGAAUAUUGCACAAUGGGCGAAAGCCGGAUGCAGCGACGCCGCGUGAGGGAUGGAGGCCUUCGGGUUGUAAACCUCUUUCGCUCAUGGUCAAGCCGCAACUGUGGGUUGUGGUGAGGGUAGUGGGUAAAGAAGCGCCGGCUAACUACGUG
rnacentral:rRNA from 1 species